CCACCAACAUUGAUCCUGUGAAUUGUUUGUAAUGCCUCAGAGCGUAUACCCUCAUAACUAUUGUUGCUACUCCUUCCUGCACGACUGAUGUGUGGAGCAUCAUUAGGAAUGAAAUCCUCCGGGGCAAGGAACACUUCUAAAGCAUUAACAAAUGCAAAAGAUGAUGAUCCUUGAGGCAUGAAAUUUAGGCUGAAUUUGCCUAUACUGAU
rnacentral:misc_RNA from 1 species